CAAGUUGUUGUUCAAGUAAACAGUCGACCAUCUGCUGGUAGUAACAAUCAAGGUGGAGUAGAUCAAAAAAUGGAUGAUGAAGACAAUGAAGAACUAGACCUUACUUGAGAAGAAUUUUGAAUUGUUUUAGAUGAAUGUUCUAGGAAUCUUUUGUUACCAACAUUUUUGAAACUUACUUACUCUCUUGAAAUGUACUAAAUUUAUGCACUCAUGGGGUAGAACAUUUGCUUUAUGGAUAUUAUUUGCUUGAUGGAUAA